rnacentral:rRNA from 1 species
CGAGCGCACCUUCGGGUGAGCGGCGGANGGGUUAGUAACGCGUGGGANUAUACCCUUUGGUACGGAAUAGCCUCUGGAAACGGAGAGUAAUACCGUAUGAGCCCUUCGGGGGAAAGAUUUAUCGCCAAAGGAUUAGCCCGCGUUAGAUUAGGUAGUUGGUGGGGUAAUGGCCUACCAAGCCUACGAUCUAUAGCUGGUUUUAGAGGAUGAUCAGCAACACUGGGACUGAGACACGGCCCAGACUCCUACGGGAGGCAGCAGUGGGGAAUCUUGGACAAUGGGGGCAACCCUGAUCCAGCCAUGCCGCGUGAGUGAUGAAGGCCUUAGGGUCGUAAAGCUCUUUCGCCUGUGAAGAUAAUGACGGUAGCAGGUAAAGAAACCCCGGCUAACUCCGUGCCAGCAGCCGCGGUAAUACGGAGGGGGUUAGCGUUGUUCGGAAUUACUGGGCGUAAAGCGCACGUAGGCGGACUGGAAAGUUGGGGGUGAAAUCCCAGGGCUCAACCCUGGAACUGCCUCCAAAACUAUCAGUCUAGAGUUCGAGAGAGGUGAGUGGAAUUCCGAGUGUAGAGGUGAAAUUCGUAGAUAUUCGGAGGAACACCAGUGGCGAAGGCGGCUCACUGGCUCGAUACUGACGCUGAGGUGCGAAAGUGUGGGGAGCAAACAGGAUUANAUACCCUGGUAGUCCACACCGUAAACGAUGAAUGNCAGUCGUCGGGNANCAUGCUAUUCGGUGA